UUGGAGGGCAAGUCUGGUGCCAGCAGCCGCGGUAAUUCCAGCUCCAAUAGCGUAUAUUAAAGUUGUUGCAGUUAAAAAGCUCGUAGUUGAAUUUCGGGAUCAAAUUGUCGGUCGUGCCUCGGUACGCACUGGUAUUAUUGGUUCCUACCUUCUGAAGAACCGCGAUGUCAUUAAUUUGGUGUCGUGGGGAAUCAGGACUGUUACUUUGAAAAAAUUAGAGUGUUUAAAGCAGGCUUACGCUUGAAUACAUUAGCAUGGAAUAAUGAAAUAGGACGUUUGAUUCUAUUUUGUUGGUUUCUAGGAUUGACGUAAUGAUUAAUAGGGAUAGUUGGGGGCAUUAGUAUUCAAUUGUCAGAGGUGAAAUUCUUGGAUUUAUUGAAGACUAACUACUGCGAAGGCAUUUGCCAAGGAUGUUUUCAUUAAUCAAGAACGAAAGUUAGGGGAUCGAAGACGAUCAGAUACCGUCGUAGUCUUAACCAUAAACUAUGCCGACUAGGGAUCGGAUGAUGUUAAUUUUUUAAUGACUCAUUCGGCGCCUUACGGGAAACCAAAGUGUUUGGGUUC
rnacentral:rRNA from 1 species